UCCAGCAGGAUGCAGCCAGCCCAAGGAGGUGCCCAAUGCCCACAUCCAGGGCUCCACACAACCAGCCUGGACCCCCCCCAUGCUCCAAUGCAUCCGAGACCCAAGUUUUCCACCCC